UGCACUGAUGCAACUUGUAAUAAAUCUCUGAUAGACUCUAUUACUUUUUUUUCACUUUCACUUUCUCUAAUAUUUUGUGUUUAGAAAGAAACUAAUUCAUAUAUAAACACAGUUUUAUGAAAAAUGAAUUUUGACCUCCCCUGAUGACUUGAUACAAAUGAAUGCUUAUGUUUCAACACAAUAAUGCCACUGGCAAACGGCAAUGAUAUCCCAGGGAUUAUUUGGUCAGUAUUCUGCACAAAUUCAAUAUACGUUGUAUUUCAUUCUUUCUAAUAACAACAUAAAAAAAAUCAGAAAAUGUGGGAGAGAAAUACAAUAUAAUCUGCAAAUAGCAAACAUUUCUUUUUCUUUCAUUUUUUUUUUUUUUUUUUUUACAUUAGUUGUACAAAAUAUUAAUGCACAAAUUACAUAUUGAUACAGUAUUUGAUAUCUGUUUCUAAGUUAGGAGUAUCAAGAUAAAAAAAAAUCAAAUUUUUUUAUAAUGGCUUUCAAUCGAUCUUACAUACCUAAUCAAACACAUUAGAUGCAUCAGAAAUCAAUGAUUUAGGGAUAGAAUGGGUGAUAAAAUUAAAACAAAUGGGCUUAAUGGUGCAAACAGUUUCAGCUUCACAAAGGGACUUUCUUCAAGAAGAACUUCCAAUCAAUGUCUACUGAUAAAAUGCUUUUUCUAUUAAUCUCCAUAUAAAAAACAGCUUGGAGAAGUGUCUAUUGCUUUGUUCAAUUUUAAAGGAUAAUUGAUAUUCAAAAUCAAACACAAUUUCAAUCUUAAAAGCAAAUAUUGAUCUCAAUACAAAUGCUUUUUCAGCAAAUGAAAUAAAACUUGUAAUGCAAAUAGCUCUAUAAAUAAAACUUGUUCUGUUUGAGAACAUACAGUAUUUAAUAGAUCACAUACAGGUAUAAAAGAUUUCAUUGAAAAUCAUUUUAUUCUCAAAUGAAAAAUUACUAAUUACUUUAAUCAAUUCACAUUGACAUGCGCACCUAAAACAUCAAUGAAAAAAAAUUAAACUUAUUGUUCAUGAUGUGCUCAAAAAUAAUUAUUUUUUUUUCUUUCACAAAUGCACAUCCCACGUCAAUUCUCUUUCUGUCCAGCCUAUCAUCCCCAGCCUCUCCCAUUUUGUAUUUAGCAGACGUUUAAUCCACUGCUUCUCUGCAGUACACAGCACAAACAAAUGAAGUAGAUAGUUACUUCAUGAAAACCUUAGCAUACAACAGAUCUGCCAUAUCUGUGGCCCCCUUUCUCUGAAAUCAGCAGAUGCCCGUAGAGUUGGUAACGUUUUUUACAUGGAGGAUAAUGAUCCACUGUUAUCAGUUAUUGAUUUUUCUCACAGGGAACUUUAAUUCCCAUGUAGAGAACUCUCAUGGAAGCUACAGAAUUGUCAUUUAUAUCCUAUUCUUCAAAUUUGACUGAAUUUUUGGGAAGCUCUGCAGACAAUACUGCCUUUAAUGUGUCUUUCACACAAAAUCAAUUAGUAAGCAUUGCCAUGUACAGUCUUUUAAACUACAUUGCAUAAAUACUAUUGAAUGUUAUUUAAUAGCCUAAACAACCUUCCCUGCAUACUAGAGUGGUUUAAAACUGGAUCAAAUGUUUGAAAAUACCUUUAGAUUUCAUCUUUGUCUCCCUCAUGCUUGACCUGUGUGGUAGUCCCCUGCUCUCCCAAAACACAAAUGUGACAAAAGUGCUACCACAAGAACCAGUACGACUGGUACUGAAUACUAGACUUGAUGAGCCAUCACAAUAUUCAACAUCAAAAUAUUGAUUCUGCCAGCAUGUAUUACAUGUACAUAAAUUCUAUAAUCAAUACAAUGAACAUACAAAUGAUUUUAACGCUGGCCUACACCAUAUUGAGCCGUAUCAUUGCCAUUUGACAAAUUACCAAUUAGAAGGAAGACCCUCCAGCGCCCAUUAAAGUGCUUAAUACAUUCAUUAAUUUUAACUCAAAAAGAAAGAGAUAAUCACAUUUUUAUUCCGAAAAACAUAAGUAGAUGAGUCAAUGAUCAAAGGUACACAUCAGCUGAAAAAUGUACACCGAGAGCCCAGGGGCCAAGAGUUUCUCUAUCACUUUAAGUUAACAUUUUCAGACCACAUUGUUUCUAUUUGCAUCUUGUAAAAAGUCUUUUCAAUGAUUUUUGCAUAUCUACACAAGACUAAUUUACCCCUGUUGUAACUUUUAGAGCAGAAAAUGGGAUUCUUCGCUUUAGACGACUGUCAUGAUAGCACAAAACAUAUAUUAUCCACCAUUAAGAGUUUAGAGAAUUCAAGAUAUUAAGUCAUUUGCAUAGAAAGUCAAUUUUGAAGACAAAGUUUUGAAAGAAGAUAGUGAAAUUAAUGGCCAAAUCAACACAAUGUUUACUUCUUAUUUCAGAACUAAGACCAUCGGAGGGCUAAUUAGUAUUCCCCCCGAGACAACAAUAACCUAGCAUCUAUGUACGUGUGAAACACACAAUUUUACUUCAAUUUUAGAUAACAUAUAAGGACAAAUUAAUUGUGCAAGAAAAAGACAUCACACUCUACUUAUUUUCACUGUCUUUCACGUUUUAGGAAUAUUACUGACAUCUCCUAAAAGCGUCAACAUUUUAUCAUUUUUCAUUUAGUAAGAAAUUGACCAAUAAAACUGGAGAAUCCCUGACCUAAGUAUGGGAGACACCUUUUUAAUCUAAUCAGUUGAAAAAACAUGAAAAACGGAUCAAACUACAGUUAGGUAUUAUUUGGGGCCACUUACAACAUCAACAAAAACACAAAAUCACACAUAAAAAUCAAAUAAAAGAAAAACAAUCACAGUUACUACAAAUCCCUUGACAGGAUGUGCAUUUGUCCUCAAGAUGCCUUCAGGACUUUCAACAUAACGGACAAACAAGAAAAUGGUGCGACAGUGAUCGUGUACAUCAGAACCAAUUAAGCAAACAUUGACAGGUCCCGUGACUAACCUAUCAGACCUUUCAUCAAUAACCAGACAAUAUAAAUCAAUAACUGGACAGAUGACGACCAAUGGUUCACGUAAUGACCAUGUAUGUGACCAGUGGACAACUAAAAAUCAAUGAAAAGACAGAUCGGACAAUAGAAAUCAAUAAAGGAACUAUUUGUUAUUGACAAAAAAACAUAAGAAGUCAAUAUCUUGGCGUAUUAAUGGGACACAGGGUUGUCAUAUUUACAGUCUAUAUCUAUGUUAAUUGAAUCUGGUAUACAUAUAUGUAUGUUUCUAAACGCAGCUGUACAUGGUGGGAAAUAGGAACAGCAGGUCCUUCCUUCCAAACAUUUGACAUUGUUGAAUAUGUUCAAAUAAGUUUAUGUUUUCUGAACACUUUGGAUAAGUUCAAAUAAGUUUAUGUUUUCUAAACACUUUGGAUAAGUUCAAAUAAGUUUAUGUUUUCUGAACACUUUGGAUAAGUUCAAAUAAGUUUAUGUUUUCUAAACACUUUGAAUAAGUUCAAAUAAGUUUAUGUUUAAAAAACACUUUGAAUAAGUUCAAAUAAGUUUAUGUUUUCUAAACACUUUGGAUAAGUUCAAAUAAGUUUAUGUUUUCUUAACACUUUGAAUAAGUUCAAAUAAGUUUAUGUUUUCUAAACACUUUGGAUAAGUUCAAAUAAGUUUAUGUUUUCUUAACACUUUGAAUAAGUUCAAAUAAGUUUAUGUUUUCAAAAAACUUUGAAUAAGUUCAAAUAAGUUUACCGUACAUGUAUGAGAUUAUACUCACAAGAAUGCAAUCAACUUCAAAUAAUUGGAAAAAGUUUUUUCUUGUUAAACUAGUAAUCUAGAGAGUAUCUAAGCCACACAAAAGCUAAAAUAUACAGUUUGCAAAUACAAUUUCUAAGGUGAAAGUAAAAAAAAUAAUUUUUUUGGUAUCUUUUGAUUUUGUUGUUUCAAUUUUCCGUUUUGCAUGCUUAGACUGGUUGCUAUCACUGUGCACACCAGUGAGGGACUUGCAAGGCUAUAUUCCUCACAACAAUCAGACAGUUAAUGUCUUGUUGUUGCUUGUGGUUAACACCUCCUCACGGAAUUUUCUUUUACCAAUGUGUGUUACUGUCUAAUUUUAGUUAAAGAUUCUUGGUAAAAUUAAAAAGUUACUAAUUUUACAGGAGACAAAAUCCAUGAUGUUUGAAUGGUGGUGAUGGUGUGGGAAGGGGGGUGGAGAUUAACUUACUUGGCUGCAGUGGCCUCCUCAUACUUGGCUUUAACUUCAAACAACUCGGAUUGCACAUUCUCUAAAGCUAAAACAGAGAAAAUAUAAUCCAAAUUAGCAAAAAAACAACAAUACUCAUUUCAUAGAAUCAAAUUCAAUCAUGGACUGCACAUAGUUGGAAGUUAAUGACAGAUACUACCUGGCAUAUGUAUCUCCCAUCAGUCUGACUAUCAAUUAAUUCAUAUAAUCCUAUCCUAUGCCAGUAGGAAUCAAACAUUAUGUAAUAUUUUUGAAAUAUCUUAAUCCAGUAGAUCAAGUAAGAAGACACAAAAUACUUCACAGGUGCACAUACGACGACAUUGCACUAAAUAAAUGCUGUGAUCGAAACGGAAUACCAAACUCAAAUAAAAAAUUACUUAUUGGCAUUCAUUUGUUUUAACAUCCAAUUAAAAAUCAGCAAUGUCUAAAUAUAAUUGACCUUGAAUAUGAAAAAUACAUUAUAAUUCUGCAUUUGAAUUCACUCCUUGGCCCAGCAUAUCAAAUCUCACAGUCUCUGUCAAUAUCAAGUCCUCUCCUUCUUAAUGAUAUAAUGUCCAUAUCGGCCCAUCCACAAAUAACUUAGAACAAUGGCGGGUCAGCUUGCUGUCAAUUUUGGUAAUUGUUGACAGUGGGCCACGAUUUAUGCUUGACAGCCAAUCAAUUUCUUGUGUCCUCUCUGCUAUUAAUUCACCAUCAUCAAGGAAUCCUUUGCCGAGUUUGAAACAUAAAUAUCAACACAGUCCUUGCAUAUUUUAAGAUACUGUUUGUCGGACCCUAUAUGGAAUAGCAUAUUUGACAACAAUCCUUUUCAACAUAUUUCUGCAUGUGGUAAAUUCCAAUACAUACAGAUUUACCACAUUUCUAACCGCCGACAAAAAUCACCUUUGAAUCAGUAACCUCACAAAAAUAUAACCUACUAACAUCUCUGAGAAUCCCUCGACUGUCUGUGACAAGCUUGCAACAGAACUAAUUCCAAUACAAAAAAUAAAUCAAUUAAAAACAUCAACUAAUCAAAACCUUUCAUUUUUCGUAUUAAAUAUUUACAAAUUUUGAUUGACUUUACGAUACAAAAAUCAAAUCAAAAUUUUAAAUCAUAUGUUCAUUUUGAAUAAAUUAGACAAAAGUGAUAUUAAUUUAUGAUAAUUGCAACCACAAUUAAUAUGGUUUCUAUGUAAAUCAAAUCAGCUGACACUUGCCAGGAUAUAGAAGCAUGUGUCAGUUUCAGAGAAAAUGACAUUGAUUCGACAUGAGGUAUACUUCAUAAACAAAUACACAAUCACAUUGAUAUCUAUAUUCUGUCCAUGUAAAGGUCCUCUGCAUGCGAGUUAAUGAUAGACAGCUAUCACUAUUUUCAAAAAAAUAAAUCUAUUUAUACUAAUAUAAGUCAAAUGUAGCACACAAUCAGGAUAGUUUUAAAACAUAUUCCAUUAAAAUCAAACUUGGAUUUUUGAAACAAUUUUUUGAAAUCACAUAUACAGUAAAUCACACCGUCGAUUAAUGAUAAAAUGCACUCAGAUGUUCAAUGCAUACUUACACACAGUACAGAAUUAAGGCAAGUUAACUUGUUCAUCCUCUCAAUAUACCAAACAAAAAGUUUCAUAAUUCUAUGUUGUUGUAAUGGACAUUUGUUACUAUGGACUAUUCAACAGCAAAAAGAUAUAUAUGAUCAUAACAUUAUGACAUUUGUAUAGGCUAAAACAAAGUUGAAUGUGUAAGAAUUUGUUGGGUAUCUGGAUAUCAAGACUUGACAAAUUUUUCUUCCACAUAUAUGUACAUUGUAUGGAUAAACAGAUUUCUUUUGUGUAAUAUGACUUAGCUUUAUUACAAAAUUAUCUCCAUUUCUGAUAUUAAAUACUAUGCAGUAUUAAUCAUAAAUUUCUGUGUAAAUGGUUUUACUUUCCAAUAAUUUGCUCAUUUAAAAAAAAAAGGUAGAAAUAUAAAGAUUUUCUUCCUUGUUGAAGUUUAAAUCUUGAAUAAUCAUUAAGUUUUGCUCACUUGAUCUAGCUAAUUUACUCAGUUGCAGUUGGUAUUUGAAGCUUUAGUGUUGUAAAUGGUGUAAUUUUGUUUUGCGUGAUAUUUUUCAUCAUAAUUUACACAGUGUCUUACAAAUGUGACUUUUCACUUGUACAACAUCCCUACAUCUGGGUCAAACCAAACGUAACAGACCAGAAAAUUGCUCUCGUCGGAGUCUCAGCUUUUAUAUUAAUUUCUUCUUCUCUGUUUUAUGUAAACUGAAUUUUAGGGAGGAAACUAGGUAGAAAAAAAUUUCAGUCUGAAUUACGCUUGUAUCAAUGGAAACACUUAAAUUUCAGUGCAAAAUUUAGUUAACAAACUGUUAUUGGGGUCCGUUUCUAACACUGCAAAAUCUAUGGAUUUUAAUUUGGAGAUUUUUUGGGGGAAAUUCUAUAUUUUCCCAUAUUUAGACACUGAUUUGCCCUUUCAUACUAGAUGUCAAUUCUGUUCAAUGCAAAGGCGUUUUCUUGAACUUUCAAACUAUCUAAGGAUGACUUUCCCUAAAAUUGUACCAAUAAAACUAUGAAAUAAAUAUUCAAAGACAC